rnacentral:rRNA from 2 species
AGAGUUUGAUCCUGGCUCAGAACGUACGCUGGCGGCACGCCUAACACAUGCAAGUCGAACGAAGUAGCAAUACUUAGUGGCAGACGGGUGAGUAACAUGUAGGUAUCUGCCCUUUGGCCUGGAAUAACACGAGGAAACUUGUGCUAAUACCGGAUAAGUCUUUACGGAGAAAGCUUUAUGCACCAUUGGAUGAGCCUGCACUUGAUUAGUUUGUUGGUGGGGUAAUGGCCUACCAAGACUGUGAUCAAUAGCUGAUUUGAGAGGAUGAUCAGCCACAUUGGGACUGAGACACGGCCCAAACUCCUACGGGAGGCAGCAGUGGGGAAUCUUGCACAAUGGAGGAAACUCUGAUGCAGCGAUGCCGCGUGAGUGAAGAAGGCCCUUGGGUUGUAAAGCUCUUUCGUCGGGGAAGAAAAUGACUGUACCCGAAUAAGAAGGUCCGGCUAACUUCGUGCCAGCAGCCGCGGUAAUACGAAGGGACCUAGCGUAGUUCGGAAUUACUGGGCUUAAAGAGUUCGUAGGUGGUUGAAAAAGUUAGUGGUGAAAUCCCAGAGCUUAACUCUGGAACUGCCAUUAAAACUUUUCAGCUAGAGUAUGAUAGAGGAAAGCAGAAUUUCUAGUGUAGAGGUGAAAUUCGUAGAUAUUAGAAAGAAUACCAAUUGCGAAGGCAGCUUUCUGGAUCAUUACUGACACUGAGGAACGAAAGCAUGGGUAGCGAAGAGGAUUAGAUACCCUCGUAGUCCAUGCCGUAAACGAUGUGUGUUAGACGUUGGAAAUUUAUUUUCAGUGUCGCAGGGAAACCGAUAAACACACCGCCUGGGGAGUACGACCGCAAGGUUAAAACUCAAAUGAAUUGACGGGGACCCGCACAAGUAGUGGAGCAUGUGGUUUAAUUCGAAGAUACGCGCAGAACCUUACCAACACUUGACAUGUUCGUCGCGACUCUAAGAGAUUAGAGUUUUCGGUUCGGCCGGACGAAACACAGGUGCUGCAUGGCUGUCGUCAGCUCGUGUCGUGAGAUGUUGGGUUAAGUCCCGCAACGAGCGCAACCCUCACUUUUAGUUGCCAUCAUUAAGUUGGGCACUCUGAAAGAACUGCCAGUGAUAAGCUGGAGGAAGGUGGGGAUGACGUCAAGUCCUCAUGGCCCUUACGUGUUGGGCUACACACGUGCUACAAUGGCAUCUACAACAGGAAGCAAAACGGCAACGUUAAGCAAAUCCCGAAAAGAUGCCUCAGUUCGGAUUGCACUCUGCAACUCGAGUGCAUGAAGCUGGAAUUACUAGUAAUCGUGGAUCAGCGUGCCACGGUGAAUGCGUUCCCGGGUCUUGUACACACCGCCCGUCACACCAUGGGAGUUGGUUCUACCUUAAGGCAAGGCUUUAAACCCUUGACCACGGUAUAGUCAGCGACUGGGGUGAAGUCGUAACAAGGUAACC